GGGCGGAUAGCUCAGUUGGUAGAGCACUGCAUUGAAAAUGCAGGUGUCCCCGGUUCGAAUCCGGGUCUGCCCACCA
rnacentral:tRNA from 1 species